AUUGAACGCUGGCGGCAGGCCUAACACAUGCAAGUCGAGCGGAUGAAGGGAGCUUGCUCCUGGAUUCAGCGGCGGACGGGUGAGUAAUGCCUAGGAAUCUGCCUGGUAGUGGGGGAUAACGUCCGGAAACGGGCGCUAAUACCGCAUACGUCCUGAGGGAGAAAGCGGGGGAUCUUCGGACCUCACGCUAUCAGAUGAGCCUAGGUCGGAUUAGCUAGUUGGUGGGGUAAAGGCCUACCAAGGCGACGAUCCGUAACUGGUCUGAGAGGAUGAUCAGUCACACUGGAACUGAGACACGGUCCAGACUCCUACGGGAGGCAGCAGUGGGGAAUAUUGGACAAUGGGCGAAAGCCUGAUCCAGCCAUGCCGCGUGUGUGAAGAAGGUCUUCGGAUUGUAAAGCACUUUAAGUUGGGAGGAAGGGCAGUAAGUUAAUACCUUGCUGUUUUGACGUUACCAACAGAAUAAGCACCGGCUAACUUCGU
rnacentral:rRNA from 1 species